CCUACGGGGGGCAGCAGUGAGGAAUAUUGGUCAAUGGGCGAGAGCCUGAACCAGCCAAGUAGCGUGAAGGAUGACUGCCCUAUGGGUUGUAAACUUCUUUUAUAAAGGAAUAAAGUCGGGUAUGCAUACCCGUUUGCAUGUACUUUAUGAAUAAGGAUCGGCUAACUCCGUGCCAGCAGCCGCGGUAAUACGGAGGAUCCGAGCGUUAUCCGGAUUUAUUGGGUUUAAAGGGAGCGUAGAUGGAUGUUUAAGUCAGUUGUGAAAGUUUGCGGCUCAACCGUAAAAUUGCAGUUGAUACUGGAUAUCUUGAGUGCAGUUGAGGCAGGCGGAAUUCGUGGUGUAGCGGUGAAAUGCUUAGAUAUCACGAAGAACUCCGAUUGCGAAGGCAGCCUGCUAAGCUGCAACUGACAUUGAGGCUCGAAAGUGUGGGUAUCAAACAGGAUUAGAUACCCUUGUAGUC
rnacentral:rRNA from 1 species